rnacentral:rRNA from 1 species
AUUGAACGCUGGCGGCAGGCCUAACACAUGCAAGUCGAGCGGAGCGGCGGACGGGGGAGGAAUGGAUAGGAAUCGGCAAGGUAGUGGGGGAUAACGUCCGGAAACGGGCGCGGAUACCGCAAACUCUCAGAUGCGCCUAGGUCGGAUUAGCAAGUUGGUGGGGUAAGGGCCUACCAAGGCGAAGAUCCGUAACUGGUCUGAGAGGAUGAUCAGUCACACUGGAACUUAGACACGGUCCAGACUCCUACGGGAGGCAGCAGUGGGGAAUAUUGGACAAUGGGCGAAAGCCUGAUCCAGCCAUGCCGCGUGUGUGAAGAAGGUCUUCGGAUUGUAAAGCACUUUAAGUUGGGAGGCGUUACCAACAGAAUAAGCACCGGCUAACUUCGUGCCAGCAGCCGCGGUAAUUC